CUGCUCAACGAGAUUCAGCUGUUGAAUGAGGCGUGCUUUUUCAGAGUUGGAGUGUAAACCUACAGGACAGUAGAUCUCCAGUUAAAGGGUCAGGCAGCCCUGAGAUAAAUAAAGAAAGAAAGGCUUUGGUCUGCAUGACGAUCAUAGGGGGCUCCUCAUAGACCAGUGGUCUGCAACCCUGGUCCUGGAGAGCUACAGGGUCUGCUGGCUUUGUUUUCACCUUAAAAUCAGUGCCCAAUUGAGACCAAAGACACCAGAACAAAACUUGGGCUGGCUGCCAUAUUUCAUCCUGGAAUUUUGUGGAUUUCCCUCCUUGAAGCAAGGGAAGAGAACGUCAGGAAGAAAGCAUAACAUUCAGAUUUGAAUGCAGCCAUAGUUUCAUAAACCUUUGUGAAUCUACCUCAGAGACCCCAAACUGAACCAUUCCAAUGGAAUCCUCCCAUUGACCCAUGCUAUGGGGUGAAAGGUCACGCAUGCAUUCAAAUUUCCCAUCACUAGGGGGCAGCACUUUAAAGUUAAACCCAGUAAGCUUUCACAGUUCAACUGCAUCCACAAAAAUAUUAUUUUCAUUUCCAUUGGUUUGUAAAUAUCGUUGAGUGUUAUAUUUUCUUUUAAAAAAUUAAUAAUUGCCGUUUAUUUUCAAAGCAGUCAUACCUCGUCAGUUAUAUUUGAAAAGUUGUGUAAAUGUGACCUUAGAAGUGAAAGAGAAAGUCAGAUGUCUGGUGCAGCCUGUGCGGCAGCCGACUCCGCCAUGUUGUGCCACAGUGGUUUGCUGUAAGAUAGCGAGGACCACUCAGCCGACUCCGCCAUGUUGUGCCACAGUGGUUUGCUGUGAGACAGCGAGGACCGCUCAGUUCCGGUUUGUUCUGCCUUUCCUCCCUCGCAAAACACCUGUCACGUUAUACCCUGCAUGGAAGAGGGUUUGAUUUCCACCAUCAGUCCUUUCUCACCUUCGAUCACAUCUCUGUGUCUGUUACCCUCCCUGCUUUCUUUCUGUACAAACAAACCAAAAUGAUGACCAUUGUUGCAUAAUGGCAUGGUGGCCAAGUGGUAAGGCAUUGGUCUCGUAAACCAAAGAUCAUGGGUUUAAUCCCCAUCCAUGCCUGGGUUUUGCAGGAAAUAAUUUCACCUGUGUGCUGCUUGGCAUCAAGGUGCAUCUCUUUAAACUGUACCUUGACUUACUUUAACACUACUCCUCUGCAGGGUUACUCCCAAUCAAAGAUAUCACCUGUAUCACUUGUAUCUUGAUCUUCAGGUUGUAGCUCUUUAUCGCAUCUCUUGUAAUCAUGCCUCGGUUCUAGUGUAUGACUUCCCAUAACUAUACUGACUUAGCCUAUGCUUACUGCGUGAACAAGACUUGGUGUCUGUGGCUAUGGAUAACUGAUAAUUAAAAUUAUAAUUAAAAUCUGA